AUGACGAUCAUGAGCUAGAACUAUCGAGGCCUCGGGUAACCUCGAACAGUUCAAGAGCUAGUGUGCCUAGUGCACACAUACAAGCCCAAGCCCGUCUUCCUUACUGAAACUCGCCAGAACAAUAAGUAUGUCUCAAACCUCAAGUGGAGGCUAGGUCUCCGUCACUGUAUCACGCAUCCCGGCACCGGAAAAGGUGGCGGCAUUGCCCUCUUUUAUGAUGAG
rnacentral:rRNA from 1 species